AUGAAUAGUAAUAGGGCUCCUGGGUCGGAUAGCAUUCCAGCCGAGUUUUACCAGCAUUGCUGGGAGAUAGUAAAGAAUGACAUCAUGAGUUUGUUUCAUGCUUUUCAUGAAGGGAGGUUGGAUGUUUAUAGGUUGAACUAUGGCAUCAUUACCCUUCUUCCCAAGAUUUUUGGAGCAGAUAAGAUUCAACAAUUCAGGCCAAUAUGUUUGUUGAGAUGCCCUUAUAAACUGAUUACAAAAGUUCUAGACAAUAGACUGGCCCUUUUUGCUGAUGUUUUGUUUAGCAAACAUCAAAAUGCCUUUAUCAAAGGCAGGAAUAUUAUGGAUGGGGUUCUAUCUUUGCGCGAGGUUCUUCAUCAUAACUAUGUUAAGAAAAAUGUGGUAUUGUCAUUAAGCUCGAUUUUGAGAAAGCGUAGGACAAGGUUAACUGGGACUUCCUUCUGA
rnacentral:rRNA from 1 species